rnacentral:lncRNA from 1 species
GUAAUUUGAAUUGAAUUGUAUUGAUUUCCGUAGAACACAUUGUUAAAGAAAAACUGGUUCCGUCACGAUAUUCCUUCUUAUAGUCGCUAAGUCCAUACGAACACGUUGAAAUGUUUUGUAAUUUGAAAAAUUUAUAAAAUGUAAGAUCAUGGAAAUAUACACAAUUUACCGAUAGAAUUGAUAAAUUAAUCAAUAGGGAUACUCGACAAAGUGAUUUCUGAUGAUGAACUAUGUAAAUAGUUCGAAACGUUAAAUGACUUAACAAUAAAAUAAAUACAAAAUCAAGAGGAA